GCCCCCCGACGGCAGCCGAGCGGGCGGAGCCGCCCCGGGUCCGGCGGGAGGAGGGGGCUGGGGCCGGGACCGGGACCGGGACCGGAACCGGGCGCGCCGCUGUGAUGGGGCUCGGAGCGGAGCCCAGGAUCCUGCCCCUGCCCCUGGACAGCCCCGCGCCCGGCUCGGCGCAGGGCAGUUGAAUCCGGGGCGGGAGACGAGCGAGGCCAGGUCCGGGAUUGCACCUGCCGGCAGCGCGCGGCGUGGAUGGGACCUCGGCUGCCAGGCGCCCGCGGCCCCGGCAGGCGCCACAGGGUAGCUCGCGGGCCGGGAAGGAGCCUGGCCCCGGCCCCGCGUCUCCCCACGGCCAUGGGAGUGGAGAUCUCCUAGGCGGGCGCUGACCGCACCGCGCCGCCUUCUCUCCUCGCCCUUCACUCUGAAGCCGACAUAUAUGAAAUGGGAAAUCGGGGGCUCUUCGGCGCCCUUUGUUACCUGAUGUUCAAUGCACCGCUGCUCUUCGUUGCCGAUGCGACAUUCACCGAAGUUCCCAAAGAUGUGACUGUUAGGGAGGGAGACGAUAUUGAGAUGCCCUGCGCUUUUCGGGCCAGCGGAUCCACCUCUUACUCCUUGGAAAUCCAGUGGUGGUACCUUAAGGAGCCAGCCAGGGAGCUGGCGCACGAGCUGGCCAUCAGCGCCCCUGGCAGCCGGAGCAAGGUAAC